UGCGAGCCUUUGGCGGACUUCUCACAAGAACAGGAACUUGAGGAGGCAGAGUGGUGAUGAAAACCGAUCAUUUGAUCUAUCACAAUAUGUUCACUAAAUAUCGAUUGAGUGUCCACUGAUGCAUGGCACUGGAAAACCAUUCCAAAAAGAUAGAGCCAUUAACAAAAAGGGGCCUUACCUGUUCAAUACGUAUGCUAAUUAAUGGUCACAGCUGCAGCCUGGACAUCCUCCUAAAGAAUGCAGAGGGACCUGGAACCUAACCGAGCUUCAGGGAAG